rnacentral:snRNA from 1 species
GUCCCCUUUGGGGUGACAUACGAAAAAAUUGGAACAAUGCAGAGAAGAUUAGCAAUGACCCUUGCACAAAAAUGACACGCGAACUCAGAGUGGUAGAUACCUUCGGGUCCCAAUAUUUUU